rnacentral:rRNA from 2 species
ACUGAUUGAUUUGGUCGCCAACGAGUGGCGGACGGGUGAGUAACACGUAGGUAACUGCCCAGAAGCGGGGGACAACAUUUGGAAACAGAUGCUAAUACCGCAUAACAACGUUGUUCGCAUGAACAACGCUUAAAAGAUGGCUUCUCGCUAUCACUUCUGGAUGGACUGCGGUGCAUUAGCUUGUUGGUGGGGUAAUGGCCUACCAAGGCCGAUGAUGCAUAGCCGAGUUGAGAGACUGAUCGGCCACAAUGGGACUGAGACACGGCCCAUACUCCUACGGGAGGCAGCAGUAGGGAAUCUUCCACAAUGGGCGCAAGCCUGAUGGAGCAACACCGCGUGAGUGAAGAAGGGUUUCGGCUCGUAAAGCUCUGUUGUUAAAGAAGAACACGUAUGAGAGUAACUGUUCAUACGUUGACGGUAUUUAACCAGAAAGUCACGGCUAACUACGUGCCAGCAGCCGCGGUAAUACGUAGGUGGCAAGCGUUAUCCGGAUUUAUUGGGCGUAAAGAGAGUGCAGGCGGUUUUCUAAGUCUGAUGUGAAAGCCUUCGGCUUAACCGGAGAAGUGCAUCGGAAACUGGAUAACUUGAGUGCAGAAGAGGGUAGUGGAACUCCAUGUGUAGCGGUGGAAUGCGUAGAUAUAUGGAAGAACACCAGUGGCGAAGGCGGCUACCUGGUCUGCAACUGACGCUGAGACUCGAAAGCAUGGGUAGCGAACAGGAUUAGAUACCCUGGUAGUCCAUGCCGUAAACGAUGAGUGCUAGGUGUUGGAGGGUUUCCGCCCUUCAGUGCCGGAGCUAACGCAUUAAGCACUCCGCCUGGGGAGUACGACCGCAAGGUUGAAACUCAAAGGAAUUGACGGGGGCCCGCACAAGCGGUGGAGCAUGUGGUUUAAUUCGAAGCUACGCGAAGAACCUUACCAGGUCUUGACAUCUUGCGCCAACCCUAGAGAUAGGGCGUUUCCUUCGGGAACGCAAUGACAGGUGGUGCAUGGUCGUCGU